UCCCUGGUGGUCCAGUGGUUAGGACUUGGUUCUUUAACUGUCAGAGCCUGGGUUCAGUCCCUGGCCAGGGCA
rnacentral:tRNA from 1 species